rnacentral:rRNA from 1 species
UAGGGGGCGAGCGUUGUCCGGAAUGACUGGGCGUAAAGGGAGUGUAGGCGGCCUUUUACGUUAUAUGUGAAAGCCCUCGGCUUAACCGAGGAACUGCAUAUAAAACUGGAGGGCUGGAGUACAGGAGAGGUAAGCGGAAUUUCUAGUGUAGCGGUGGAAUGCGUAGAUAUUAGGAAGAACACCGGAGGCGAAGGCGGCUUACUGGACUGCAACUGACGCUGAGGCUCGAAAGCGUGGGGAGCAAA